CCCUUAGACGUUCUGGGCCGCACGCGCGCUACACUGACGAAGGCAACGAGCUUUCCUUUACCGAAAGGUACGGGUAAUCUUUUGAAACUUCGCCGUGCUGGGGAUAGAUCCUUGCAAUUUUUGAUCUUAAACGAGGAAUGCCUAGUAAGCGCAAGUCAUCAACUUGCGUUGAUUACGUCCCUGCCCUUUGUACACACCGCCCGUCGCUACUACCGAUUGAAUGGUUUAGUGAGGCCUUCGGAUCCGCGACUCGUUUGUGGAGAAGUUGGACAAACUCAGUCAUUUAGAGGAAGUAAAAGUCGUAACA
rnacentral:rRNA from 1 species